GUAUGGAGUAAGAUAGGGAGUAGGUUGUAUGGUGUGCUACCCUUACCACAUGUACAUAUAUAGAAAGAAGAAGCAUGUACUUGUGUGCAUCUCUGUAUGUGCAAAGUGAAACUCUGGAAGGAGCCAGAGAGUUCCCAUGGCGGGGGGACAGCUGUGCAGAUGGAGGAUGAGAAUGAAAGAGAGACUUUUCCUUCCAUACAUCUGAUAACUUUUGAUUUUGCAUUCAAAUUCUUUGAUUGUCUAUUCAAUUUCUUUAAUCAUAGGAAGAGUUAUCAGAGGAAGCAAAGGUUAAAAUAUAUAUAUUCAUUUAUUCCAGAAAUGUUUAUUCAACAACUACAGUGUGGCAAGAGCUGCAGCAGGCAAUGGAGAAUAAAGGAUGACAAUUCUGGUACUUAGGGAGCAUACAGCCAAGUGAAAGACGCUGACAAGCAAUCAUGACCUAGAUUUAAACCAGAGUGAUUGAGGAAAGGAAGCUGCACCAGUAGAAACAAAAGUCAGAAGGGAAAGCCGCUUUAAGAAAUAAUGUAGUUGAUGGGAGAUGCUCAGCAAUUUGAUGAAGUGAAGGAUUUAUGCAAAUUGGAAGGUUCCAUCAGGGAGUAGGUGAAAGAUUGGCAUUUAGAAAGGAUUCCAAAACUGGAUUUUGAGUAUUCUUCUGAGGUGGAAAUUCUAAGAGAGAAAGCAAGAAGAGAAGGAAACCCGGAAGCAGUCUUGGACAAUGUCCUCAUUUAUUGAGUUUCAGAUGUCUUUUUUUUUUUUUAAUCAAAAGUUUCCAUUCAAGAUUCUGUUUCUUAAAAGCAGUAUCGAUGGAGGUAAGAUCGAAGUAUUUUUUCAAAUAUAGCUUCAAAAGGACUUAAAACACUGUAACAGUCCCCGGCAAAACUGCUAGGCUUUUAUGACCAUAAUAAUGAAAAAGAAGACUUCUUAGUCAGAUAAGGACGGCCCCCACAUGAUAUUCCUGAGGUUGUGUGUCUGACAUCUGGUGAGAUGUCUGGUGCCAUUUUAUGAUUUAUGGUGCAGGAAAUUUGAAGGUUCUUUGGGUGCAAUAUAACUCAGGUGAAAAAGACACUUUGAUUCAAGUCCAUUUUCUUUUAUUUUUGAUCAUUCGGAGAAACCAUUUCAUGUUGCAUAUUAAUUCUUCCCAGAGCCAGCUGGUAGAACACAAGGCUAAUGAGGCCAAAGUUGCUGGUUCAAUCCCUGUACUGCAGACAGGCCCCACGCAGGGAAAGCUUUUUCUUGUGCACCUCUAAUCAAGUGCAGCUGUCUCCCGGUUUGGCAUUAGACACAAAGGAGCCCGGGUGAGGGAAGGUGAAUUCCUGAUGAGGAAUCAUCAUCCAGGAAAAGUAGCACAAGUUUCUAACCUAGUUAAUCUUACGUCUCACAACUUGACAGCCUCCACUCACCUACAUUUGUCCUUGAGGAUUUUUUUUUUUUAAUGUAAGAGAAGAUCAUUCAAAUAAGGAUAUCACAAAUGAUUCACUCAACCAGGAUAAAGGGAAAAUCCAAGGUGAUGUCUGUAAGUGUAAGUGAAUUCCUAAGCCGUGUCUCCUGGGCUUUGUUAUUGUCAGCCAGACCGUUGGUAUUGCUCCUGUGUUAAAUCUGAACAUAACUUUGCCACACAGGAAAAGAAACCUGCAAACAAAGAUGCAUUUUCAGGCUCCAGCCCAAGUUCUGCCAAGCAUGGAGUUUAUAAGUGUAACAAUGGCAGCUGUUCCCACUAGUAAGAACAGCUGGGAAAAACAGAACCAGAGUCAUUAUCUCUCAGAUGAUGAUCUGUUGGAACAAUGCCCAAAAUAUCAACACUGACACUGAGUGACAGCAUUUAGCCUCUGAUAACCCCUUUUAAGUUUGUGUUUCAUUUCACCAAAAGAAAUUAACCGUAUCACAUAUUCAAAAACAAAUAUCUCAGAAUUAUUUCAACAAUUGAGGUAUAAACCUAUGUUCUUUCAGAUGUUUUGAACUACUUGUAUUCAGUAUCAGAAUCAAUAUUGGUCAUUCUGUUCUCCUGAAAGAUUACAGUCUACAGCAGAUACUUUUUAGGUGAAAAGUAAUAGAAUUGGUAUCCUGUUCAAAUUAUCCAUGAAAUCUAAUCCAGUUGCGAUACUUAGAUAGUGCCACAAUUAAACAUUGGUACCUCCAGGGUCCGGGUAACCCAGGAUGGAGAAAAAUCUUGUCAACCUUAUACUCCAUGGACACUAAUUAGGAUUAAAAAUUCAUAAAGUGAGUUAGAUUUAAGGGAAAUCUUAAAGAAAAUUUCAAAAAGAGAACAAUAAAUUUGGUAAAGAAAAGAUGUAACUCAAACAGAGUCAAGAAGAAAAGAGUCAUAAUUCAAUUGGAGUAAAAGCUGGAGCAUAUAAUAUUAUCAUCGUGGUCUCAGCUGCCGACAUUAAAUGAAUGAAUUUUCCCCUUGUUCUUAUGAACAUCAUCAGAUAAAUAACACAAUCAACCUUGACAUCAGGUAGCUACAGAGAUUAUUUUAAUGUCUGGACAGCUGGUAUAAAAGACUCUAGAUUCUGUUAAGAAUUGCUGCAGAAACAAAGUCUCCCUGGAAAGCAGAGUCAGGGGAAAAAUAGGUGGCAUCUGUAAUCAUCAUGUACUCCUCAUGCCCUUGAAUGGUAUGUUCACCAUUAAAACUUUAAGUCAACUCUCUAGAUGAAUGACAAGGUUACAGUAACAUGUAUGACAUCAUGACAUGGGGGAAAAAAAAAAAACAAGCAGGAGUUUUAGAAUCAGGCACAACUCGUAUUUAGCAGGAAAUCACAGUUACUGAAGUCUAGCAAGUGCUUCCUGUAUACCCAGGAACCUUCUACAGGCUUGCAUGGAUUAUUUUCUCACCAACUUCUCCCCAUCAUCCUAUAAUUUUGUAUUAUUAUUUAUUCCCACUUUAUAGAUGAGGGAAGUGGACCACAGAGAAGUUGAGUAAUUUGGGCCAUCUUCAUAGAGGCUGUAAACGGCUCAUCUGUAAGAUAUCUCGCUUUUGGCUUCCCAAAGUAAGCCUCAUGCUGUGACAUUUUCCCCUCCACAUUAAUAAAGUAGCUGAGAAGUUCUGUAUAUCAGAGGUGCUAAUGAAAAGAGGGAAAAGUCAGGGACGGGGAAGAGGUUGAAGGGCCGCCUUUUUAAUAGUUCUGUCUGCAUAGACCAAGAAGGUCUUACCUUUCCUCACUAAACUGUAUAAAACUUGCUCCUAACUAUGGGCCCCUGACCUCCCUUUCCUUAGAGCAUUUACUUUAGAGAAGCUGCCAGUGUAAAUUCUUCCUCUGUCCUUGGAGAAGUAGAUCUUCUUCCAGCCUCUUGCCAAGUGUGUACCCCAGGAAUGUCUUUCUCAAGGCCUGGAUGCCAUCCUUUUGAAAUGUAAUUAGCAAGGAUGGCGCCUCUACCUCCCAGUCGCUAUGGGAGGCUUGGAGCACCAGUUAGGAAACACAGGUGCCUAAUCUUAUUGACCAACUUCCUCCCUUCCGUCCUUAACACAUUCACACUGGCUCCUGCCAGCACUUAAAAAUUCUUCCGUCUUAUGUUUCAACAGGGUUGAGUUCCUUCUCUCUCCUAUAGCAGUUGUCUUCACCUCUAUUGCCAUAGUCCUGAAUAAAAUCUUCCUUUCCUGAUGCAGUUUUCCACUGACAACAGUGGGCUUGACAAUCACUGAAGAAGGCACACAUUAGACAGGAAAAGGGUGUAAGAGAAGCAUGUAACUGGAUUUUCUGAUGAGGAAAAAGAACCAAGGAUGGUGAGAAGAUGCCACACGGUGAGCUCUUUAUGUAAAAAGCAUCAGCACCUCUGUUACUUCCUGACUGGGUCAUGAAGGAAGGCAUUUCUGAAAAUGUAGAAAUCUUGGGAAGGACUGAAAAGGAAAGGGAGAAAGUAUGAAAAAUAAAUGACAGCUUUAAAAAAAGAACAAUUAUAAAAUUUAUACUCUAAAGGCAUAAUAAUAGACUUUUAUGCAAAUUAAAAUGCAUUUAAAUGCAAAUUCAAGGCAUAUUUUUAUGCAAAUUCACGUGUGGUCCUCCUGCCUAUUUCACAUAUUUGGCUGUGACCUUGUAAAGACCUUAGCAACAAUUCCUACCUAAAGUUUUAGAGCAGUCAGGUAAAGGAGAGGCCUAUUGCAAGCUGAUCCUGAGAGACUGGGUGAGGUUUUAGGAGGAAGAAAGGAAGAAUAGGCUAUUGUCAGUUCUGUUCCUUUAGACAUAAGUAAGAGCUUCAGGUUAGGUCUCUGAUAAAUUUAUGUUAAAAUUUUAGCUGUGAGAUCUUGGGUGAAUAAAAGAUUUAAUUUCUCUGAGCCCAGGUCCUCAACUAUGACAGAAGUACAAAUCUUUAGUAAGAAGAGUAUCGUGGCGUUCCCAUUGUGGCUCAGCAGGACUGGAUCCUUAACCCACUGAGGGAGGCCAUGGGUCAAACCUGCAUCCUCGUGGAUCCUAAUCAGGUUCGUUAACAGCUGAGCCAUGACGGGCGCUUCUCAACUAUCAAUCUUCCCACUUGGCUAUAGGUUCCUGUGUGUGUGUGUGUGUGUGUGUGUGUGUGUUCCUCUAGGUAUCUAUACUUUCUGAGAUACUAGUUUUAAGUUGCUUAGAGCCUGGAUAAAUUAAUGUCCACUGCUCAACAUUUACUAUAAUGAUGUACAGACAAUAUUUGAUCAAUAAUUACUUUUGACUCACUUUCCAAGUCGUGAGUUCUAUUAGUUUGCCAGUACUGCUCUGACAAAGUUCCACAGACUGGGUGGCUUAAACCACAGAAUUUAUUUUCUUACUGUUCUGGAGGCUGGAAGUUCAGGAUCAAGCAGUUGGCAGGGUUGACUUCUCUUGAGGCUUCUCUCGUUGACUCAGAUGUGGCUGUCUUCUCCCUGAGUCAUCACAGCAUCUCGUGUGUCAGUGGCCAUUCCUCUUCCAGUAAGGACACUGGUCACGUUAGAUGGGGAUCCACCCUAAUGACCUCAUUUUAACUUAAUUAUUUCUGUAAAAGAUUCUCUGUAUACAACCAUGUUCUAUAGAGGAACUAAGGUUAGGACUUCAAUAUAUGAAUUUUACAAGAGGCACAGUCUAGGCCUAUGAUUGUCUUGCCUUCAUGAACGUCUAUUUUAUAUAAUUUUCUCACCUCAUCCAUUGUAUUUUUACAUUAUUCAUAAUUUUAUAUUUAAUACUUAGAGCAAGUAUAGUCCAGGCACUGAAUUAGGAGUCCUUCAACCUCUUAGGAUAGAGGAGACUAGGACCUUAUAUAAGAAUACAUGAUAGAAUAAGCUUGUAAAUUCCUGGAGAGUGUGGUCUAAGUAUUGUACCUCUUUGAAAAUCCCACAAUGCUCAUGCAGUACAGUAGACUCAGUACAGUAAUUGUCUGUCUGGUAGACAAAUACGUGACUCAAUGAGCGAAUAAGUAGGAGUCAGGCAGCAAUAGCUAUUGGAAGGCACAAGAAGUAACCAUGUUGUCUCACUGAAGACUCUCUAGAGCUCCCCACCUGGUGGAUUUUCAGUGUGAGAAAUGGCCUAGGGACCUCUGUUCAUCUCCAGAGUAGCCUGAGCUACAUCCUGAGGUUUUCCAGUGUUUUCAGAGUUCUUUGCUGCUCCAGAGGUAUGAAGAUGAUUUCAGAGGAGUAAUUGGCCACGGUCUUGAGCAGACUCUGGGGAGGAGAAAGGUGAGAAUACAACACAGUUUAAAUGAUUGAAAGCAGGAAAUUUAAUUUAAAAAAAAAUUGGCAGGUCAUUACCUUUCUCCUUUAGGAAGACCAGUAGUGUUCACUUGGAUCUAAUAACAGGCUUAAUCCACAAAUAGGCAAGUCAUCCAUUUAUCCCCCAAAUGAUUGCAUCUUGAAGUAAUGAAAUACAUUAGCCUCUCUGAUACAGGUAAUUCUCCAACUUACCAACCACUGUGCUCUAUCUACAGAAUUUUGUAUACAUGUAUAUAAUGUCCAUUCCGAAGAGAAAGCUAUCAUUAAUUUUUUUCACAUCUGAUCUUCCCUAACACCACAAUUUAAACCACUGUUAAUUUUCAAAUCCCUUUUCAUUCAUUUUCCAUUUUUUUCACUUUAAAACUGAUUCAAAACAAAAAUUAGUUGAGAUUGCUAGAUGAUAGAUAAAUAAAAUUAGGUAUAGAUAUAGACACAUAAAAUCAUUGAAAUCCAGAUCUCUUUCUAGAAAAAUAUCACUGUUACCAACACACUUUUUAGUUUGCUAGUUAUUUUGUUUUUCAUUUUUAACAGAGACAAAAGGUAAAGAAGAGAGGGAGGAAGAGGAGACAAUUGUACAUUUCUAAGUGUUUUAUCAGAGCAUGAGUUGGGAGGUUGUGUUACAGUCCCUAGUGGAAAUUUGAUUUCAUCACAAACCACCUCACAGUAUGAUACAAUUUAUCACCACUGUCAUCCUAGGCUCAACAGAGAGCAGAAAUAGAAUCCUAGAGGCUCCGUGUGGAGAACCUUGUACCCAGGUGCCUGGUUAAACCUCCAGAAAUCAUCCCCAUUACUGAAUACUAGCUGCUGGCUACUUAUUCUCACAAAUCAGUAAAUGACCCUGAUUUCCCAAUCUUAACUCUUAAAUUGACUGGAAUGUACAUCGAUAACCAUUAAAAAAAAAAAAAA
rnacentral:lncRNA from 1 species